GUGGAUUAGAUACCCUGGUAGUCCACGCCCUAAACGAUGAUCACUAGUUGUUCGGAAAGGUGACUUUCUGAGUAACGUAGCUAACGCGUGAAGUGAUCCGCCUGGGGAGUACGGUCGCAAGAUUAAAACUCAAAGGAAUUGACGGGGACCCGCACAAGCGGUGGAUGAUGUGGAUUAAUUCGAUGCAACGCGAAAAACCUUACCUACCCUUGACAUGCCUGGAAGAUCGCAGAGAUGUGAUUGUGCCUUCGGGAACCAGGACACAGGUGCUGCACGGCCGUCGUCAGCU
rnacentral:rRNA from 1 species